rnacentral:rRNA from 1 species
GGAGAAUAGCCCGAAGAAAUUCGGAUUAAUACUCCAUAAUACUAUGAACCGGCAUCUUUUUAUAGUUAAAGCUCCGGCGGUUAAAGAUGGGCAUGCGUACAUUAGAUUGUUGGUGAGGUAACGGCUCACCAAGUCUACGAUGUUUAGGGGGUCUGAGAGGAUGGUCCCCCACACUGGUACUGAGACACGGACCAG